UAGCUCAGUGGUAAAGAAUCUGCCUGCAAUGCAGAAGACCCAGGUUCAAUCCCUGG
rnacentral:tRNA from 1 species